UACGAAGGGUGCAAGCGUUAAUCGGAAUUACUGGGCGUAAAGCGUGCGUAGGCGGUGACUUAAGUCUGUUGUGAAAUCCCCGGGCUCAACCUGGGACUGGCAAUGGAUACUGGGUCGCUAGAGUGUGAUAGAGGAUGGUGGAAUUCCCGGUGUAGCGGUGAAAUGCGUAGAGAUCGGGAGGAACAUCAGUGGCGAAGGCGGCCAUCUGGAUCAACACUGACGCUGAGGCACGAAAGCGUGGGGAGCAAACAGG
rnacentral:rRNA from 1 species